GUCCCUGUAGCACAAUGGAUAGCGCGUUGGACUUCUAAUCCAAAUGGAGUGGGUUUGAAUCCCAUCUGGGCUG